rnacentral:rRNA from 1 species
CCUACGGGUGGCAGCAGUGGGGAAUAUUGGACAAUGGGGGCAACCCUGAUCCAGCAAUGCCGCGUGUGUGAAGAAGGCCUUCGGGUUGUAAAGCACUUUGGGUGGGGAAGCGGUACCCGCAGAACAAGCACCGGCUAACUCUGUGCCAGCAGCCGCGGUAAUACAGAGGGUGCGAGCGUUAAUCGGAGUUACUGGGCGUAAAGGGCGCGUAGGCGGUUAUACAAGUGAGAUGUGAAAUCCCCGGGCUUAACCUGGGAACUGCAUUUUAGACUGUAUGACUGGAGUACUGUAGAGGAUAGUGGAAUUUCCGGUGUAGCGGUGAAAUGCGUAGAGAUCGGAAGGAACACCAGUGGCGAAGGCGACUGUCUGGACAGAACUGACGCUGAGGCGCGAAAGCGUGGGGAGCAAACAGGAUUAGAUACCCCAGUAGUC